rnacentral:tRNA from 1 species
GUUUUAAUAAUUUAAAUAAAAUAUUGGUCUUGUAAACCAAAAAUAGAUAAUUCUUUAAAACU